rnacentral:rRNA from 1 species
AACGAACGCUGGCGGCAUGCCUAACACAUGCAAGUCGAACGAGACCUUCGGGUCUAGUGGCGCACGGGUGCGUAACGCGUGGGAACCUGCCCUUAGGUUCGGAAUAACUCCCCGAAAGGGGUGCUAAUACCGGAUAAUGUCUUCGGACCAAAGAUUUAUCGCCUUUGGAUGGGCCCGCGUUGGAUUAGCUAGUUGGUAGGGUAAAAGCCUACCAAGGCGACGAUCCAUAGCUGGUCUGAGAGGAUGAUCAGCCACACUGGGACUGAGACACGGCCCAGACUCCUCCGGGAGGCGGCAGUGGGGAAUUGUGGAAAGUGGGGGAAGGCAUGAUCCACAAAUGCUGGGGGAGGGAUGAGGGUCUGGGGGUAGAAAGGCUUUUUUACCGGGGAAGAUCAUGAGAGUACCGGAAGAAAAGGCCCCGGCUAACUCCGUG